GUUAGGAAUAUUGGACAAUGGGCGAAAGCCUGAUCCAGCCAUGCCGCGUGAACGAUGAAGGCCUUCGGGUUGUAAACUGCUUUUGUACGGAACGAAACGGUCCUGGCUAAUAUCCGGGGCUAAUGACGGUACCGUAAGAAUAAGCACCGGCUAACUACGUGCCAGCAGCCGCGGUAAUACGUAGGGUGCGAGCGUUAAUCGGAAUUACUGGGCGUAAAGCGUGCGCAGGCGGUGCUGUAAGACAGGCGUGAAAUCCCCGGGCUCAACCUGGGAAUUGCGCUUGUGACUGCAGUGCUGGAGUACGGCAGAGGGGGAUGGAAUUCCGCGUGUAGCAGUGAAAUGCGUAGAUAUGCGGAGGAACACCGAUGGCGAAGGCAGUCCCCUGGGCCUGUACUGACGCUCAUGCACGAAAGCGUGGGGAGCAAACAGGAUUAGAUACCCGGGUAGUCC
rnacentral:rRNA from 1 species